rnacentral:tRNA from 2 species
GCCGGAGUGGCGGAAUUGGUAGACGCAGGGGAUUCAAAAUCCCCCGCCCUUUGGGUGUGAGAGUUCGAGUCUCUCCUCCGGCACCA